rnacentral:lncRNA from 1 species
AUGCUGGGAGAGUCUAUGUUGUCAUAUUGUCAGGAAAUGACCCAUGCGUUGCAGUGUAUAUCUUCCCAGGUGAAAGAGGCCCACCGUAGACUCCCUCAGGAUUGGAAAGCACACUCACUAGAGCCGGGAGACUACGUGUGCUUGAAGGUUCAUCAACCGGGUACCUUUCAGCCCAGGUGGACCAGACUGUCCUACACAGCAGUGAAGGUGUCGGGAAGGAAGGCCUGGAUCCACGUGUCCCAGUCUUUUCUAUGUCUAUCAAGUCGGUUUCUAUCACACUCUCAGGUCUGGAGAAAACCAAAAGAAGGUCAGAGAGCAGGGUCAGGCCCAGAACAGAAGAUAGACGGGGUGUGAUUCUGACAUCUGGCUAAACAAAAGAGGAGCAUGGACAUUCCACAGGGGAAAGGAGGGACACUCAUUGGGGUCAUAAAAUGUAUGGCUGAGGAGGUGACACCUACAAGGAAUGAAGAGUAUAAGAUGUUUUCUGAACUUUCUAAAUAUAUGCCCUCAGCUGACUAUCCUUGGUAUUAAAUACUUGAAACUUAAAGCUUUUGGUCUCAAUUCCUUAUUGCAAAGAGGCUGUAAUAGCAUUUUUCUUUUUAACAUUACUUUAAAAAAAAUCCAUUGUAUUUUCCACUUUGAUUCCACGUCACAAUAUGUUGACAAAUUCCUGAAACACUUGAUUCAACCAGUUUCUGCCCAGUUGGAUGUUGCCUUUUCUCUCACGUACAGCAUGACUAUAGGUCUAGUAGUGUAGCAUGCUAUUGCACAGAAUGAGUAUGGCGUUGCAUCUUGGUGCAGACAGAUCCUUCUACAAACCCUGCAUCAGCUCCCAUUUGACAGCAUGACACCCAGUUGUAGUAAACACAUUUCUGAAUGCACAGCUCACUGUUGUUUGGCACUAUGGCCAAUGAAAA